CUCAGGAGGUUUGCGUCCUCCGACAGAAGUUGGAGCGUCUUGUUGAUCCCAUCGAGGUACAGCCACAGUCUUAGCUGUCCUGUCCACGGCUUCCAGCAAGCCUUCCGCUGCCUUAAGUCUGCUCUGUAUCCAGUUUGCCAUGCUUAAUCUCGUGAGGCUCAAUACAGCUUGAAAUGUUGAUGCAAUGCUCAACAACAGUCGAACAUUCCGUGAGUAAACUUGUCCCUUGUUCUGCUCAAUCAAGCUG
rnacentral:lncRNA from 1 species